AGGGUUUUGGAUCCUGGCUCAGGACGAACGCUGGCGGCAGGCUUAACACAUGCAAGUCGAACGAGAAGUUGUCCUCUCGGGGCGAUGGAGAGUGGCGAACGGGUGAGUAACGCGUGGGGAUCUACCCUUCGGUGGGGGACAACCUUGGGAAACUGGGGCUAAUACCGCAUACGCCGGGCCUUUAUGGUUUGGGAAAGAUUUAUUGCCGAAGGCUGGCCCCGCGUCCGAUUAGGUAGUUGGUGAGGUAACGGCUCACCAAGCCCGCGAUCGGUAGCUGGUCUGAGAGGACGAUCAGCCACACUGGGACUGAGACACGGCCCAGACUCCUACGGGCAGGCAGCAGUGUGGGAAUCUUGGACAAUGGGCGCAAGCCUGAUCCAGCCAUGCCGCGUGAGUGAAGAAGGCCUUCGGGUUGUAAACCUCUUUCGCCGGUGAAGAUAGCGACGGUUAGUCGGAGAAGAAGCCCCGGCUAACUCCGUGCCAGCAGUCGCGUUAAUCGGAGGGGGCUAGCGUUGUUCGGAAUUACUGGGCGUAAAGCGCGCGUUAUG
rnacentral:rRNA from 1 species